rnacentral:misc_RNA from 1 species
GAUGAAGAACGUAGCGAAAUGCGAUAAGUAGUGUGAAUUGCAGAAUUCAGUGAAUCAUCGAAUCUUUGAACGCACAUUGCGCCCCUUGAUAUUCCAUGGGGCAUGCCUGUUCGAGCGUCAUUUGUACCUUCAAGCUUUGCUUGGUGUUGGGUGUUUGUCCUGAGGGACUCGCCUUAAAGUAAUUGGCAGCCAGUGUUUGGUUUUGAAGCGCAGCACAAGUCGCGAUUCAAAGCUAUACGCCCGCUUCCACAAGCCUUUUUCACUUUUGACCUCGGAUCAGGUAGGGAUACCCGCUGAACUUAAGCAUAUCAAUAAGCGGAGGA